AUUCCAGUAUUAAAUUAUCCCUUCAUAAAAUUCUUCCUGUUGAUAGCUAUGCAUGUUUGAUGUAUUUUGUCUGUUAGUAUGCAUUGUGUUUGGCAAGAUUUCAUAACUGCAUAUUUUACCUCGCUCUUUGACCAUUCUCCCAGCUGUUACAUACAUUAGAGAUAAUGUGUGUAUAUAAAGUACAUAGUAUUCCGCAUAUGGCAGAUAUUAAAUAGUGGUAGCUAUUAUAAACAUUAUCAGUGUUCCAAAGUAUUAUUAUAUUAUGGAUCUAUAAUUUAUUAUUUUGUUGGUAUUAAUAUAUGUUACAUAUGAUAUAAGCUGAUUUCUCCUCAGAUCUUAAAUAUUUUUAUAACUAGUCUUUCUGUGUGGCACACACUACUGUCCUUGUUUACAGAAAUUCAAUAUAAAUCCCUAGAGACUUAUAAAAACAAACAAAAAUUUCUUAAAAUCCCCCAAAACAAAAAAACCUCAAGUUUUAAAUUCUGAAUUAAAAGUUCCAGAAUUAAAAUUCUUCUUGAAAAAAUGUGGCAUAUAAGGCAUUCAUGCCUUUAAAUAAGACAUAAAAUUAUAUUCUUAUCCCUCAUUCAGUUUGACAAAUAUGUGUUACCUGUAUUAAAAAGGGAAGGGGGAAGAAGAUUUUGGAUAUGAAAGUUUUGCAAAACAUAAAUUCUAAUCAACAUGUUUAUGAAGCAACUAUGUACUGAACAUUUACAAGUACUGUACUUCAUUUCUAGAUUAGUGAGCUCAAUUUAAGCUCAAUUUAACUCACCUUCCAAAUUUAGCCUUUUCUUUGGGGGAAAAGAGGUUUAAGUCAAAAUAUAAAGGAAAAGUAUAAUGGUUAGAAGUUUCUUAGCUUUAGGCCUUUGCAGAUCCAUGUAGGCCAAACCUCAUACAAAGGAAUGGUGAAGGGUCUUUCGUCAAAAAUUUUCUUAAUUUCUGUGGAUCCUAAAAUUCAACUAUAAAAGUCAGAGAAAGCAGAAGAAGCCAUGGAACUUGUAAUGCUCUCUGCCUUUUUGGACAAAGCUCACCUACUUCAUUUUUACCUCUUGGUGUCUAUAGUGGGUAAAGUUCAUCAUUAUAAAUAGAAAC
rnacentral:lncRNA from 1 species